rnacentral:tRNA from 1 species
GGGCCCGUGGUAUAACGGCAACACACGUCUAUGGCAUGGACGAGUUCGGGGUUCGAUUCCCCGCGGGUCCACCC